AUUGGCGGACGGGUGAGUAAUGUAUCGGAACGUGCCUAGUAGCGGGGGAUAACUACGCGAAAGCGUAGCUAAUACCGCAUACGCCCUACGGGGGAAAGCAGAGGAUCGCAAGACCUUGCACUAUUAGAGCGGCCGAUAUCGGAUUAGCUAGUUGGUGGGGUAACGGCUCACCAAGGCGACGAUCCGUAGCUGGUUUGAGAGGACGACCAGCCACACUGGGACUGAGACACGGCCCAGACUCCUACGGGAGGCAGCAGUGGGGAAUUUUGGACAAUGGGGGAAACCCUGAUCCAGCCAUCCCGCGUGUGCGAUGAAGGCCUUCGGGUUGUAAAGCACUUUUGGCAGGAAAGAAACGUCAUGGGCUAAUACCCCGUGAAACUGACGGUACCUGCAGAAUAAGCACCGGCUAACUACGUGCCAGCAGCCGCGGUAAUAAU
rnacentral:rRNA from 1 species